rnacentral:rRNA from 1 species
AUUUUGUUAAUUAAUAUUAAUUUUUUUUAUUUAGAUAUUUUAUAAAAGUAUUUUAAUUAUUUAUUGUUUUAGUAUUGAUUAAAAAUUAAUUGUGAGAUUUAUAGUUAAGUAGUAUUGUGUAAGAAAUUAAUAAUAUUUAAUAAAGAAUUUAUUUAGUACCUUUUGUAUCAGGGUUAAUUAAAAUUUUUAAUUUAUUUUAAUUUCUCAAAAUUUAUAGAGUUAGUUUUAUUAUUAAGUUAUUGUAGUAAAAAUAUUUAUAAGAUAAUACUAGUUUUGAAAUUUAAUUCGUUAUAUUAUAUUUAGUUAUUUAAGAUUUAAAUUUAAUUUAAAAUUUUAAAAGUUAAAUUGAUUUUUUUUAUUAAUAUUUUAAAUUUAAAUUAUUUUAGGGAUAAGCUUGAAAUUUUUAUAUAAUAUUUAUUUUAAUUUAAUAGUUUAUAGGAUUAGAAAUUUUUAUAUAAGUUUGUAAAAAUUUAUUAUUUAAUUAUAUUUUAAUUUAUUAUAAUUUGUUUAUUUUUUAUAUUAAAUUUUAUAAAUUAAUAUUUUAUUUAUAGUAAUAAUGAUUAAAUUAGUAUAUUUAAAAUUUAUAAAUUAUGAAUUCGGCAAAUUUUAUUUUCAUCUGUUUAACAAAAACAUUGUAUUAAGUUUAAUUUAAUAUAGGAUCUGCUCAAUGAUUAAAUUAAAUAGCUGCAGUAUUUUGACUGUGCAAAGGUAGCAUAAUAAUUAGUCUUUUAAUUGAGGACUAGAAUGAAAGAUUUGAUGAAAAAUAAGCUUUAUUAUUUAUAUAAUUAGAAUUUUAUUUUUAAGUAAAAAGGCUUAAAUAUUUUAAAGGGACGAUAAGACCCUAUAAAACUUUAUAAUUAUUAGUUUUUAAAUUUUUGGAUUUAUUAAUAUAUUUAUAUAAUAAUUUCUAUUUAUAUAUAAAUAAAUAUUUAAAUUUUAGUUAUUAUUUUAUUGGGGUGAUAAAAAAAUUUAAUGAACUUUUUUUAAAAUUUAACAUUAUUAAAUGAUUAUUUGAAUUAAAAUUUUUAAUUAUAGGAUAAAGUUACUUUAGGGAUAACAGCGUAAUUAAUUUUUUAAGUUCAAAUUUAAAAAUUAGU